UGACCAAUAUAUCACUAUUGAUCCUGGGAGC
rnacentral:piRNA from 1 species